GACGAACGCUGGCGGCGUGCCUAAUACAUGCAAGUCGUACGCUUCUUUUUCCACCGGAGCUUGCUCCACCGGAAAAAGAAGAGUGGCGAACGGGUGAGUAACACGUGGGCAACCUACCCAUCAGAAGGGGAUAACACUUGGAAACAGGUGCUAAUACCGUAUAACAAUCGAAACCGCAUGGUUUUGAUUUGAAAGGCGCUUUCGGGUGUCGCUGAUGGAUGGACCCGCGGUGCAUUAGCUAGUUGGUGAGGUAACGGCUCACCAAGGCUACGAUGCAUAGCCGACCUGAGAGGGUGAUCGGCCACAUUGGGACUGAGACACGGCCCAAACUCCUACGGGAGGCAGCAGUAGGGAAUCUUCGGCAAUGGACGAAAGUCUGACCGAGCAACGCCGCGUGAGUGAAGAAGGUUUUCGGAUCGUAAAACUCUGUUGUUAGAGAAGAACAAGGAUGAGAGUAACUGUUCAUCCCUUGACGGUAUCUAACCAGAAAGCCACGGCUAACUACGUGCCAGCAGCCGCGGUAAUACGUAGGUGGCAAGCGUUGUCCGGAUUUAUUGGGCGUAAAGCGAGCGCAGGCGGUUUCUUAAGUCUGAUGUGAAAGCCCCCGGCUCAACCGGGGAGGGUCAUUGGAAACUGGGAGACUUGAGUGCAGAAGAGGAGAGUGGAAUUC
rnacentral:rRNA from 1 species